rnacentral:lncRNA from 1 species
GCAGGCCUCCGUCUCCCACUCCCACUCCCACUCCCACUCCCACUCCCGCACGCUGUAUCUCUUUCCCACUCCCAGGGCAAGUCGGCAACUGACCAACGGUGGCAACUGGCAAGCCGCCUGUGCACUGCGACCGUGCGACGACUGCAGCUUUCCACGGUCUGUCGGUCCAUCCCUGACGCCAAGCAAGCUGCGACUGCGUGCGUCCGCCCUUAACUUCCGGCCGUCUCCAAAGUCCAAUCCAUUCACAAUCCACUCGACUGCCGUCUUCUUGAAUCUUGAAGGUGUGUCACAACUCACAUGUUCAUCU